AUGGAAAUUGUCCAUACUUACGGGAAGCCUGACAUCUUCUUGACCAUGACCUGCAACCCUAACUGGGAAGAGAUAAUGAAUGAGUUGUUUCCUGGUCAGACAGCGCAAGACCGACCUGAUCUUGUGGCUCGUGUGUUCCAUGGCAAGCUAGAGGCUAUGAAAGAGAUGUUGUUCAAGAAGAAUAUCCUGGGUGUUGUUGUUGCACAUGUAUACGUAGUCGAGUUCCAAAAGAGGGGCCUC
rnacentral:rRNA from 1 species